ACAUAUAUACUAAAAAAAAAUUCCACUGGGGGAUAGUUGGUUCGACAUAACACUGUUGCGCAAAGCGACGAAGGGACAGGACUUGGGCGAGAAAAACAACACACGACACCUGAGCGCAAUUUUUUUACCAG
rnacentral:lncRNA from 1 species